UACAGAGGUCCCGAGCGUUGUUCGGAUUCACUGGGCGUAAAGGGUGCGUAGGUGGCGCGGUAAGUCGGGUGUGAAAUUUCGGAGCUUAACUCCGAAACUGCAUUCGAUACUGCCGUGCUUGAGGACUGGAGAGGAGACUGGAAUUUACGGUGUAGCAGUGAAAUGCGUAGAGAUCGUAAGGAAGACCAGUGGCGAAGGCGGGUCUCUGGACAGUUCCUGACACUGAGGCACGAAGGCCAGGGGAGCAAACGGG
rnacentral:rRNA from 1 species